GAUGAACGCUGGCGGCGUGCCUAAUACAUGCAAGUCGAGCGAACAGACGAGGAGCUUGCUCCUCUGACGUUAGCGGCGGACGGGUGAGUAACACGUGAAUAACCUACCUAUAAGACUGGGAUAACUGCGGGAAACCGGAGCUAAUACCGGAUAAUAUAUUGAACCGCAUGGUUCAAUAGUGAAAGACGGUUUUGCUGGCACUUAUAGAUGGAUCCGCGCCGCAUUAGCUAGUUGGUAAGGUAACGGCUUACCAAGGCAACGAUGCGUAGCCGACCUGAGAGGGUGAUCGGCCACACUGGAACUGAGACACGGUCCAGACUCCUAAGGGAGGCAGCAGUAGGGAAUCUUCAGCAAUGGGCGAAAGCUUGACGGAGCAACGAGGCGUGAGUGAUGAAGGUCUUCGGAUCGUAAAACUUUGUUAUUAGGGAAGAACAAAUGUGUAAGUAACUAUGCACGUCUUGACGGUACCUAAUCAGAAAGCCACGGCUAACUACGUG
rnacentral:rRNA from 1 species